rnacentral:rRNA from 1 species
GCAGUCGAGCGCUACCUUCGGGUGGAGCGGCGGACGGGUUAGCAACGCGUGGGAAUAUACCCAGUUCUAAGGAAUAGCCACUGGAAACGGUGAGUAAUACCUUAUACGCCCUUCGGGGGAAAGAUUUAUCGGAAUUGGAUUAGCCCGCGUUAGAUUAGAUAGUUGGUGGGGUAAUGGCCUACCAAGUCUACGAUCUAUAGCUGGUUUGAGAGGAUGAUCAGCCACACUGGAACUGAGACACGGUCCAGACUUCUACGGAAGGCAGCAGUAGGGAAUAUUGGACAAUGGGCGAAAGCCUGAUCCAGCAAUACCGCGUGAGUGAUGAAGGCCCAUGGGUCGUAAAACUCUUUCAACGGGGAGGAUAAUGACAGUACCCGUAAAAGAAGCUCCGGCUAAUUCCGUGCCAGCAGCCGCGGUAAGACGGGAGGAGCAAGCGUUAUUCGGAUUUACUGGGCGUAAAGCGCGUGUAGGUGGAAUGAAAAGUUGUAUGUGAAAUCCCAGGGCUUAACCUUGGAACUGCAUACAAUACUUUCAUUCUAGAGUU